rnacentral:rRNA from 1 species
GAGUUUGAUCCUGGGUCAGGAUGAAUGCUGGCGGCGUGCUUAACACAUGCAAGUCGAGCGGUAACGGGUCUAGUUUACUAGAUGCCGACGAGCGGCGGACGGCUGAGUAACGCGUAGGAAUGUGCCCCAAAGUGAGGAAUAACUGCCCGAAAGGGUAGCUAAUACCGCAUAUGGUCUUCGGAUUAAAGGAUUUAUCCGCUUUGGGAACAGCCUGCGUCAGAUUAGAUAGUUGGUGAGGUAAUGGCUCACCAAGUCGACGAUCUGUAACUGGUUUGAGAGGAUGAUCAGUCAGACUGGAACUGAGACACGGUCCAGACUCCUACGGGAGGCAGCAGUGGGGAAUCUUCCACAAUGGGCGAAAGCCUGAUGGAGCAACGCCGCGUGAAGGAUGAAGGCCUUCGGGUUGUAAACUUCUUUUAUGAGUGAAGAAUAUGACGGUAACUCAUGAAUAAGCACCGGCUAACUACGUGCCAGCAGCCGCGGUCAUACGUAGGGUGCAAGCAUUAUCCGGAGUGACUGGGCGUAAAGAGUUGCGUAGGUGGACAAAUAAGUGAAUAGUGAAAGCCGAUGGCUCAACCAUUCGGACUAUUAUUCAAACUGUUUGUCUCGAGAGUAGCAGAGGUAACUGGAAUUUCUUGUGUAGGAGUGAAAUCCGUAGAUAUAAGAAGGAACACCAAUGGCGUAGGCAGGUUACUGGGCUAUUUCUGACACUAAGGCACGAAAGCGUGGGGAGCGAACCGGAUUAGAUACCCGGGUAGUCCACGCCGUAAACGAUGGAUACUAGCUGUUGGAGGUAUCGACCCCUUCAGUAGCGAAGCUAACGCG